rnacentral:tRNA from 1 species
GGGGCAUGGCUCAGCUGGGAGAGCGUCAGGUUCGCAAUCUGAAGGUCGGGGGUUCGAUCCCCCCUGUCUCC